CUACGUGCCAGCAGCCGCGGUAAUACGUAGGUCCCGAGCGUUGUCCGGAUUUAUUGGGCGUAAAGCGAGCGCAGGCGGUUAGAUAAGUCUGAAGUUAAAGGCUGUGGCUUAACCAUAGUACGCUUUGGAAACUGUUUAACUUGAGUGCAAGAGGGGAGAGUGGAAUUCCAUGUGUAGCGGUGAAAUGCGUAGAUAUAUGGAGGAACACCGGUGGCGAAAGCGGCUCUCUGGCUUGUAACUGACGCUGAGGCUCGAAAGCGUGGGGAGCAAACAGGAUUAGAUACCCUGGUAGUCCACGCCGUAAACGAUGAGUGCUAGGUGUUAGACCCUUUCCGGGGUUUAGUGCCGUAGCUAACGCAUUAAGCACUCCGCCUGGGGAGUACGACCGCAAGGUUGAAACUCAAAGGAAUUGACGGGGGCCCGCACAAGCGGUGGAGCAUGUGGUUUAAUUCGAUGCAACGCGAAGAACCUUACCUGGUCUUGACAUCC
rnacentral:rRNA from 1 species